AUCCAGCUGACGAGUCCCAAAUACAACGAAACGCACGUCAAACUGGAU
rnacentral:hammerhead_ribozyme from 1 species